rnacentral:misc_RNA from 1 species
UAUAAUGUGAUUGGCAAUUCGUGAUCAUCGAAUCUUUGACGCCAUUGCGCCCUUUGGUAUUUCGGGGCAUGCCUGUUCGAGCGUCAUUUCACCCCCAGCUCUGCUUGGUGUUGGGCUUCUUUUGUCCCCGGUUUGCUUCAGACUCGUCUUCGGUUCUGUGUUUCUCUGCCCUAUGGUUUUCUUUAUUCACUUCUGAUUCCGCUCUUCCCCGCCCGACGUCCCCGUCCUCCGCCCCUUUUUUUCGGUUUUUGUCCUCUCAUCUGGGAGCUCCCUGCUGUUCUUCAUAUCAUAAUCGGCAGGAAAAGGGGGGGGGG